rnacentral:rRNA from 1 species
AUACGCCUGGAGGGGAAAGGUGGGGACCUUCGGGCCUACCGCGAUUGGAUGCACCCAUGUGGGAUUAGCUAGUUGGUGAGGUAGCGGCCCACCUAGGCGACGAUCCCUAGCUGGUCUGAGAGGAUGACCAGCCACACUGGAACUGAGACACGGUCCAGACUCCUACGGGAGGCAGCAGUGGGGAAUAUUGCACAAUGGGCGCAAGCCUGAUGCAGCCAUGCCGCGUGUAUGAAGAAGGCCUUCGGGUUGUAAAGUACUUUCAGCGGGGAGGAAGGGAGUAAGGUUAAUAACCUUAUUCAUUGACGUUACCCGCAGAAGAAGCACCGGCUAACUCCGUG